UACGGAGGGGCUAGCGUUGUUCGGAAUUACUGGGCGUAAAGCGCACGUAGGCGGCUUGUAAGUUAGAGGUGAAAGCCCGGAGCUCAACUCCGGAAUUGCCUUAAGACUGCAUCGCUAGAAUUGUGGAGAGGUAAGUGGAAUUCCGAGUGUAGAGGUGAAAUUCGUAGAUAUUCGGAAGAACACCAGUGGCGAAGGCGGACUUAC
rnacentral:rRNA from 1 species